rnacentral:rRNA from 1 species
GCCUACCAUCAUACCAACUCUGAACAUAGCUGAUCUCAUCUGACCUCAGAAACUAAGUUGGUUGGGCCUGAUUAGUACUUUUAUGGGAGGCCAGGAAUCUGGAAAAGAAGAUG